AUGGUGCCGAGGCUGGAGCGCGGCGGCGGUGGCGGGUUCCAGCUCCCCAACUCCGAGCAGGAGAACUCGCUCUUCCUCCGCGCGCUCAUCUCCGUCGUGUCCGGGGACACCGCGGCCCCCGCCCUGCACCCGGAGCCAUCGAACCCGCCGUUUGCCGCUGCCGCUGCCGCUCCGGUGCCUGCGUGCGGCAGGUGCGGCGCGGACGGGUGCCCCGGCUGCGAGUUUGCCGCUGCGGCGGCCGCGGCGACGACCGGGUCGAGCAGCGAGGGGGAGGAGUGCUCGGCCGCGAGCUUCGUGAGGAACGGCGGCGUGGGCAAGCGGCGGGCUGGCGGCGGCGGGAGCAAGUUCAGGGGCGUGCGGCAGCGGCCGUGGGGCAAGUGGGCGGCGGAGAUCCGCGACCCGCACCGCGCCGUGCGCAAGUGGCUCGGCACCUUCGACACCGCCGCCGAGGCCGCGCGCGCCUACGACGUCGCCGCGCUCGAGUUCCGCGGCCACCGCGCCAAGCUCAACUUCCCGGCGUCGUCGUCGGCGGCCUCCGCGUCCGCGUCCGCUUCCGCUUCCUCCUGGGCGGCUCGGCAGCAAAGGCCGGAGAGCCCUCGCGAGAAGUGCGGGUCAAAUGCGUCGUCGCCGGCGCACGUGCCGGAGCAGGGGAGGCCGGUGGCGCGGGAGCAGGAGAUCUGGGACGGGCUGCACGAGAUCAUGAUGAUGGACGACGGCAGCUUCUGGUCCAACCCCAAGCCAUGA
rnacentral:rRNA from 1 species